rnacentral:rRNA from 1 species
UACAGAGGGUGCAAGCGUUAAUCGGAAUUACUGGGCGUAAAGCGUGCGUAGACGGUUAUUUAAGUCAGGUGUGAAAGCCCCGGGCUCAACCUGGGAAUUGCAUUUGAGACUGAAUAGCUAGGGUGCGGAAGAGGGAAGCGGAAUUUCCGGUGUAGCGGUGAAAUGCGUAGAUAUCUGGAGGAACACCGGUGGCGAAGGCGGCAUCCUGGACCGACACUGACGCUGAGGAGCGAAAGCCAGGGGAGCAAACGGG